UUUCCGUAGGUGAACCUGCCGAGGGAUCAUUACCGAGUUUACAACUCCCAAACCCCUGUGAACAUACCACUUGUUGCCUCGGCGGAUCAGCCCGCUCCCGGUAAAACGGGACGGCCCGCCAGAGGACCCCUAAACUCUGUUUCUAUAUGUAACUUCUGAGUAAAACCAUAAAUAAAUCAAAACUUUCAACAACGGAUCUCUUGGUUCUGGCAUCGAUGAAGAACGCAGCAAAAUGCGAUAAGUAAUGUGAAUUGCAGAAUUCAGUGAAUCAUCGAAUCUUUGAACGCACAUUGCGCCCGCCAGUAUUCUGGCGGGCAUGCCUGUUCGAGCGUCAUUUCAACCCUCAAGCACAGCUUGGUGUUGGGACUCGCGUUAAUUCGCGUUCCCCAAAUUGAUUGGCGGUCACGUCGAGCUUCCAUAGCGUAGUAGUAAAACCCUCGUUACUGGUAAUCGUCGCGGCCACGCCGUUAAACCCCAACUUCUGAAUGUUGACCUCGCAUGGGAAACCUUUGGAUUGAGAUUAC
rnacentral:rRNA from 1 species